rnacentral:rRNA from 1 species
CAACGUGGGUAACCUGCCUUAUAGUGGGGGAUAGCCUUUCGAAAGGAAGAUUAAUACCGCAUAAGAUUGUAGUAUCGCAUGAUAUAGCAAUUAAAGGAAGCAAUUCGCUAUAAGAUGGACCCGCGUCGCAUUAGCUAGUUGGUGAGGUAAUGGCUCACCAAGGCGACGAUGCGUAGCCGACCUGAGAGGGUGAUCGGCCACAUUGGGACUGAGACACGGCCCAGACUCCUACGGGAGGCAGCAUG